rnacentral:rRNA from 1 species
GAUGAAUGCUAGCGGGAGGCCUAACACAUGCAAGCCGAGCGGUAUUGUUUCUUCGGAAAUGAGAGAGCGGCGUACGGGUGCGUAACACGUGUGCAACCUGCCUUUAUCUGGGGGAUAGCCUUUCGAAAGGAAGAUUAAUACUCCAUAAUAUAUUGAACGGCAUCGUUGAAUAUUGAAAGCUCCGGCGGAUAGAGAUGGGCACGCGCAAGAUUAGCUAGUGGGUGAGGUAACGGCUCACCAAGGCGAUGAUCUUUAGGGGGCCUGAGAGGGUGACCCCCCACACCGGUACUGAGACACGGACCAGACUCCUACGGGGGGCAGCAGUGAGGAAUAUUGGUCAAUGGGUGCAAGCCUGAACCAGCCAUCCCGCGUGAAGGACGACUGCCCUAUGGUUUGUAAACUUCUUUUGUAUAGGGAUAAACCUACCCUCGUGAGGGUAGCUGAAGGUACUAUACGAAUAAGCACCGGCUAACUCCGUGCCAGCCGCCGCGGUAA